UGAGGAAUAUUGGUCAAUGGGCGAGAGCCUGAACCAGCCAAGUAGCGUGCGGGAUGAAGGCCCUUGUGGUCGUAAACCGCUUUUAUCAGUGAAUAAAGUGCAUCACGUGUGGUGUCAUUGCAGGUAGCUGAAGAAAAAGGACCGGCUAAUUCCGUGCCAGCAGCCGCGGUAAUACGGAAGGUCCGGGCGUUAUCCGGAAUUAUUGGGUUUAAAGGGAGCGCAGACGGGAGUAUAAGUCAGCUGUUAAAUAUCAGGGCCCAACUCUGUUAUGCAGUUGAAACUAUAUUUCUUGAGUACGCACAGGGAUGGCGGAAUUCAGGGUGUAGCGGUGAAAUGCUUAGAUAUCCUGAAGAACUCCGAUCGCGAAGGCAGCCAUCCGGAGCGUAACUGACGCUGAGGCUCGAAGGUGCGGGUAUCGAACAGGAUUAGAUACCCUGGUAGUCCGCACGGUAAACGAUGAAUACUCGCAGUUCGGCCUUUUAGGUCGAGUUGUCCAGCGAAAGCGUUAAGUAUUCCACCUGGGGAGUACGCCGGCAACGGUG
rnacentral:rRNA from 1 species